rnacentral:rRNA from 1 species
UGCUCAUCCCUGACGGUACUUGACCAGAAAGCACGGCUAACUACGUGCCAGCAGCCGCGGUAAUACGUAGGUGCAAGCGUGUCCUGAUUUAUUGGGCGUAAAGCGAGCGCAGGCGGUUCUUUAAGUCUGAUGUGAAAGCCCCCGGCUCAACUGGGGAGGGUCAUUGGAAACUGGAGAACUUGAGUGCAGAAGAGGAGAGUGGAAUUCCACGUGUAGCGGUGAAAUGCGUAGAUAUGUGGAGGAACACCAGUGGCGAAGGCGACUCUCUGGUCUGUAACUGACGCUGAGGCUCGAAAGCGUGGGGAGCAAACAGGAUUAGAUACCCUGGUAGUCCACGCCGUAAACGAUGAGUGCUAAGUGUUGGAGGGUUUCCGCCCUUCAGUGCUGCAGCUAACGCAUUAAGCACUCCGCCUGGGGAGUACGGCCGCAAGGCUGAAACUCAAAGGAAUUGACGGGGACCCGCCCAAGCGGUGGAGCAUGUGGUUUAAUUAGAAGCAACGCGAAGAACCUUCCCAGGUCUUGACAUCCUUUGACCACUCUAGAGAUAGAGCUUUCCCUUCGGGGACAAAGUGACAGGUGGUGCAUGGUCGUGGUCAGCUCGUGUCGUGAGAUGUUGGGUUAAGUCCCGCAACGAGCGCAACCCUUAUUAUUAGUUGCCAGCAUUUAGUUGGGCAAUUUAGUGAGACUGCCGGUGACAAACCGGAGGAAGGUGGGGAAGGAGUCAAAUCCUCCUGCCCCUUAUGACCUGGGGUACCCCCGUGCUACAAUGGAUGGUACAACGAGUCGCAAGGUCGGGAGGCCAAGGUAAUUUCCAAAAACCAUUUUCAGUUCGGAUUGUAGGUUGCAAAUUGCAUACAUGAAGCUGGAAUUGCUUGUAAUCGCGGAUCAGAACGCCGCGGUGAAUACGUUCCCGGGUCUUGUACCCCCCCCCCGUCACACCCAGAGAGUUUGUAACACCCGAAGCCGGUGAGGUAACCUCAAGGAGCCAGCUGUCAAGGUGAUAGAUG